rnacentral:rRNA from 1 species
ACACGACUACAUUAGAUACCCCCGUAGUCCUAGCCGUAAACGAUACUCGCUAGGUGUCGGCCACGGUGCGACCGUUGUCGGUGCCGUAGGGAAGCCGUGAAGCGAGCCACCUGGGAAGUACGGCCGCAAGGCUGAAACUUAAAGGAAUUGGCGGGGGAGCACAACAACGGGUGGAGCUUGCGGUUUAAUUGGAUUCAACGCCGGAAAUCUUACCGGGACCGACAGCAACAUGAAGGCCAAGCUGAAGACUUUACCGGAUUAGCUG